CCUACGGGGGGCAGCAGUAGGGAAUUUUCGUCAAUGGGCGCAAGCCUGAACGAGCAAUGCCGCGUGAACGAGGAAGGUCUUCGGAUCGUAAAGUUCUGUUGAAGGGGCAAAAGAGCGGAGAGAGGAAAUGGUCUCCGAUUGAUAUUACCCUUCGAGGAAGUCACGGCUAACUACGUGCCAGCAGCCGCGGUAAUACGUAGGUGGCGAGCGUUAUCCGGAAUGAUUGGGCGUAAAGGGUGCGUAGGCGGCCUGCUAAGUCUGGAGUGAAAGGUACCGGCUCAACCGGUACAGGCUCUGGAAACUGGCGGGCUAGAGAGCAGGAGAGGGCGGUGGAACUCCAUGUGUAGCGGUAAAAUGCGUAGAUAUAUGGAAGAACACCAGUGGCGAAGGCGGCCGCCUGGCCUGUUACUGACGCUGAGGCACGAAAGCGUGGGGAGCAAAUAGGAUGAGUUACCCGAGUAGUC
rnacentral:rRNA from 1 species